ACAUUAUACAUGUACCUUUUUGCUAUUUAUAACAUAAUCCGUAUUUAUACAAUAUAUAUUAUAUACAUAAUAAUAUUAUUAUAGUUUAUAAUGUUUGUAUGGAUGUAGGUAGGUCACGUGUAUUAAACUGCACGCGUCAUUAUAAUAUAUGAUACCUAUAUGGUAUAUAUAUAUUAUACGCGUGACCAUCAGUCGACGACGUCGAUCGAUGAUUUCGGGUCUCCCGGAGCUUUUUUCCGAUAACCGACUUCUGACGAAUCGUCUCGUCGGCGGGCAUGUCGAAACGCGCGUCGUAGGUAUACCUAUCUAAUAUAAUAACAUAUUAUAUUAUAUUAUACUAGUUGAAAGGCUAUUUAGGUAUGCCGUGUUUCAUUAUUAAAUCAAACAUAUCAUAUCGACUAUAUAGACACUGACAUACUAUAAUCUCGAACGAAUACGGGCGAUACGUCAUGUACGUUCCUCGAAAUAGUGCCGGGACAGCUGAUAUUGGCAGUCGCAGAUGUCUGACCGCCCGGCGUUGUCCGUCCUAAUAUUACCGUUUAAUAAUAUUAUUAUAUUAUAGAUGCGAGUGUGUACCUAUGUAUAUGGUAUAUCUCCUAUACGUCGACGACGGUCGGAGACUUGAACGCUGCUAUCGACACGUUUUCCGCACGCGCUGGACACAACAGAUACGUAGAAACCAUGGCAAAAUUAUACCACUUCACGAAUUGAACACACGUCAACAAGAUGAAACCUAUAAGUCGUUUUACAAAAUACGCUGAACUAUAUCCAUGCCAUCUACUGUUGGAAGAUACAAAUUUAUAAAUAUCGGCAUUUCCAAGAAAAUAUACGGCUUCGGGAUAUGAAAUUAAAAACCACAGGCGUUGUGCAGCUUGAAAAAAAACUUUCUUGACGAACUGGAAGUGACCUGAAGCCGUAGCUUACAGAUUUGUUGUUCCAUCCACAUUGUUCGGACGAAGACUCGCCCGUCUGCAGCUGCGCGCGUUCUGGAUCUAUUGCAGUUCGAACCGUAUUUAGAUAUCCGUCUGGUAACCGUCGAACGGUGUGAUUUAUUAUAACAUAUUCGCGAUACACUUGUCGUAUCCGACUGCACGUCGUCCUUAAGACUUCACCAAAGACACAAUAACGUAUAAGAAAUCUGUUUGAAUCGCCUACUAUAUGUUUGCAAGGAAAAUAAAACGAAUAAACUCGAACACUAUAAAAAGUGAUUCGAAAGACACACGAUUAGAAGACGUACCUAUACUACACUGUACAUAUAGUUUUACGCCACUUUGUGUUAUUUGUGUCUCGUGUGCAACUGACGUUAUAGGGGAGAAAAAUGUCGUGUGAUGGCACAUAUCGACUGCGGCCAAGACCGACUCCUCGGUGCACUGCAGGAUGUGUUUUCCCCGUUUUCUCGGGUCAUAACCUUACGGGGAAAGCGGAAAGCACGGAGGUCCACGAUCAUUAUAACACUUGUUGUGCGACGUCGGAGAAAAUUUAAAUCGAUUUCGAUUCAAAGGUCACCGUUGAUUCCACUAUUUUGAAGUUUUAAGUAUAAGAACUCGUCUACCAACUAGUCAAACCAGGAGAUUAAAUAUGCGAAAAAUACAACCUUACCGAAUACAUAUAGAUGUACAAUAUUAGGUCUUUUCAAACGAUGACCAAAUACACACGGGGAUUGCGCGUAAUGUGAAAUCAUCCACCACCUUCAAUUUGUUCAGGACUAUAUCAGCAGCGGUGACCCGCUAGGACAUGGAAAUAACGACAGAAUUAACUUUUUUUAAAAGGUCAAAGGGUUGGGUUGACACAAGAAGGGUCAAACAGCACACGAGAGGGUGCGCAUUUGUAUCGGUCAGUGAAUUGAUCGGGGUACAAAGGCAGUACGUUUAAUAAGUCUAAAUGCAAAUAUUGUUACAGGUGAUGUAGAUAUAUUAUGAAUUUACUUUUAAGAUUUUUUUUUUUUAUUAUUAUUAACAUCAUAAUAAUUAUUGUCAUUAAA